rnacentral:rRNA from 1 species
UACGUAGGCAGCGAGCGUUGCUCGGAGUUACUGGGCGUAAAGAGUGCGUAGGCGGUUUUCUAAGUUUGGUGUGAAAUCUCCCGGCUCAACUGGGAGGGUGCGCCGAAGACUGGAAGGCUUGAGUAUGGGAGAGGUAAGCGGAAUUCCUGGUGUAGCGGUGAAAUGCGUAGAUAUCAGGAGGAACACCUGCGGUGUAGACGGCUUACUGGACCAUAACUGACGCUGAGGCACGAAAGCGUGGUAGCAAACAGG